CGACCCCUAAGGCGAGGCCGAAAGGCGUAGUCGAUGGGAAACGGGUUAAUAUUCCCGUACUUGGUGUUACUGCGAAGGGGGGACGGAGAAGGCUAUGUUGGCCGGGCGACGGUUGUCCCGGUUUAAGCGUGUAGGCUGGUUUUCCAGGCAAAUCCGGAAAAUCAAGGCUGAGGCGUGACGACGAGGCACUACGGUGCUGAAGCAACAAAUGCCCUGCUUCCAGGAAAAGCCUCUAAGCAUCAGGUAACACGAAAUCGUACCCCAAACCGACACAGGUGGUCAGGUAGAGAAUACCAAGGCGCUUGAGAGAACUCGGGUGAAGGAACUAGGCAAAAUGGUGCCGUAACUUCGGGAGAAGGCACGCUGACACGUAGGUGAAGUGAUUUACUCAUGGAGCUGAAGUCAGUCGAAGAUACCAGCUGGCUGC
rnacentral:rRNA from 1 species